AAUCUUCCGCAAUGGACGAAAGUCUGACGGAGCAACGCUGCGUGAGUGAUGAAGGUUUUCGGAUCGUAAAACUCUGUUGUUAGGGAAGAACAAGUACAAGAGUAACUGCUUGUACCUUGACGGUACCUAACCAUAAAGCCACGGCUAACUACGUGCCAGGAGCCGCGGUAAUAAGUAGGUGGCAAGCGUUGUCCUGAAUUAUUGGGCGUAAAGAGCCGGCCGGCGGUCCUUUAAGUCUGAUGUGAAAGCCCACGGCUCAACCGUGGAGGGUCAUUGGAAACUGGGGGACUUGAGUGCAGAAGAGAAGAGUGGAAUUCCACGUGUAGCGGUGAAAUGCGUAGAGAUGUGGAGGAACACCAGUGGCGAAGGCGACUCUUUGGUCUGUAACUGACGCUGAGGCGCGAAAGCGUGGGGAGCAAACAGG
rnacentral:rRNA from 1 species